rnacentral:rRNA from 1 species
AGUGAACGCUGGCGGUAGGCCUAACACAUGCAAGUCGAACGGCAGCACAGUAAGAGCUUGCUCUUACGGGUGGCGAGUGGCGGACGGGUGAGGAAUACAUCGGAAUCUACUUUUUCGUGGGGGAUAACGUAGGGAAACUUACGCUAAUACCGCAUACGACCUACGGGUGAAAGCAGGGGAUCUUCGGACCUUGCGCGAUUGAAUGAGCCGAUGUCGGAUUAGCUAGUUGGCGGGGUAAAGGCCCACCAAGGCGACGAUCCGUAGCUGGUCUGAGAGGAUGAUCAGCCACACUGGAAGUGAGACACGGUCCAGAGUCCUAAGGGAGGGAGCAGUGGGGAAUAUUGGACAAUGGGGGCAAGCAUGAUCCAGCCAUACCGCGUGGGUGAAGAAGGCCUUCGGGUUGUAAAGACCUUUUGUUGGGAAAGAAAAGCAGCAGGUUAAUACCCAGCUGUUCUGACGGUACCCAAAGAAUAAGCACCGGCUAACUUCGUG